ensembl:snoRNA SNORD62 Small nucleolar RNA SNORD62
UGUCAGUGAGGUAUCUCCAGUAGAUCGUUCUGAUCCUCACUGUGGUCUCAGUAGGAGGGAGAUGAAGACAACAGUGCCUGAAAAA